UAACAUGCAAAUAGAUUAACCUAAAAAAAUCCACACUUUGAUGUGAGCAUGCUGUCUCCCAUAUCAGCAAAGGACCUGCUAAGAUGGGGGUCUUGAAUACAGCUCAGCCACUACCCCCACUGAUGCACCUGUCUUUAAUCAGACCAGGAGUAAGUAAAGUUGGAGGAAAAGUGUUAUGUGUGAUCAAACUGCCUGUGUUACAGAACUGUUUCUGGGACUCAGGGACUACAAAAUACCUAAUAUAAUUAGAAGAGUGCUGAGACCGCCGACGCUUUGACCAUCCACACCAUUAUCUCCAGAAUCGCCACUAUGGGAAGCCCAGGACCAAGCAGUCUCAAUUUCCUCAGCAGUUCUGCAUUUGUUUUCAAGGUUCCAUUUCUGCUUAGUUAAUGAACGCCCUUUAUGGCCCAAACCUGUUUCCCUUCCUGUGUUCUCUCCCCAUGAAAGGAUUGAUCCUUCUAGGAAACCUGUUGUGAUGCUGAGGAAAUUAUUCAAAAUAAUUAGUGAGUGUACACUCUGUCCAUUAUAUAAUUGUUAAAGCUGCUACACAUUAAGACAAUGGAGAAAUUGUAUAAUUCAUGAAAGUUGAUAUUAUAAUAAGUGAUGCACUAUGUUGAAGGCCUUACACAGACCUUUAAAAGGAAUGCAUGUCCUUCUUUUACAGUACAGUUAAUAACUUCCAAAUCAUAGCAGAGGUUGUGUUAUGACCAGGUCUAAAACCCAAUUCAUUUAUAUUUAGAAUAUAAUGAGUUAAUAAGGAUUUGAGUUGAGGAUUCCCAUUGUUUAGGUAGACAGAAGUGUAGAAAUGGGGUUCUAAUGAUUUAUCACUUUUGUGGCGCGGGUGCACAUCGGCCACGUUCCAGACCCUGGGGAAGGUGCCGGAAGAAAUCAUAGGUUUAAUCCUGCAAUGGGACGUACUGUACAGAAAGUUACGACAAGACUGCAGGUUUUUUGGUGGCUGCAGAGCAACCGACAGGAAUAAGAGUGACAUCAACUGCAUCACCAAGAGAGUGGAUGACAUACAUGAGAUGAGUGAAAGGCUACGGUUUAUGGAAAUGAGCAUUACCCAUAAUCACAGUAACCACUUGGGGGCAACGGCCAAACCAGAAGAACUCAUACUGACAAUAGAAGAGACGUUACAGGUACCUUGUGAUAUGUACAAUGGGACUUAAACCUUGAAGAAAAUGGUUGUCUGAUGUUGGAUUCUUCCCCAAGAGAAACAAAGGAGCCAGUUUGCUUAUGUUUCCUUGCACAAAUGGGGCAACCUAGUCUAUCACAAACCGAUAUCCACUGUCUAUCACAUUCAGUAAAGCAAUGGAGUCGACUGAUGUUUGGCAGAGGAGAGGUUGUUAUAAUUAAAACAGAGUGAUUAAAUAUUUUGCAGCAUUGGAUGCAUAUGCUUGACAUCAAUCAUAACUGUGAGCUG